rnacentral:rRNA from 1 species
GACGGAGGGUGCAAGCGUUGUUCGGAAUUACUGGGCGUAAAGGGCGCGUAGGCGGUCUGUUAAGUUCGGUGUGAAAGCCCCCGGCUCACCUGGGGAACUGCGCCGGAAACCGACAGACUCGAGUACCGGAGAGGAGGGUGGAAUUCCUGGUGUAGCGGUGAAAUGCGCAGAUAUCAGGAGGGAACACCGGUGGGCGAAGGGCCGG